AGUGAACGCUGGCGGUAGGCCUAACACAUGCAAGUCGAACGGCAGCACAGUAAGAGCUUGCUCUUACGGGUGGCGAGUGGCGGACGGGUGAGGAAUACAUCGGAAUCUACUUUUUCGUGGGGGAUAACGUAGGGAAACUUACGCUAAUACCGCAUACGACCUCCGGGUGAAAGCAGGGGAUCUUCGGACCUUGCGCGAUUGACUGCGCCGAUGUCGGAUUAGCUAGUUGGCGGGGUAAAGGCCCACCAAGGCGACGAUCCGUAGCUGGUCUGAGAGGAUGAUCAGCCACACUGGAACUGAGACACGGUCCAGACUCCUACGGGAGGCAGCAGUGGGGAAUAUUGGACAAUGGGCGCAAGCCUGAUCCAGCCAUACCGCGUGGGUGAAGAAGGCCUUCGGGUUGUAAAGCCCUUUUGUUGGGAAAGAAAAGCAGCAGGUUAAUACCCCGCUGUUCUGACGGUACCCAAAGAAUAAGCACCGGCUAACUUCGUG
rnacentral:rRNA from 1 species